rnacentral:tRNA from 1 species
GGAGAUGUAGCUUAGAGGUAGGGCUCUUGCCUACCAUGUAUGAGGUCCUGGGUUCCGUCCUCAGCACUGCCA